UGCUUGGGGUCGAUUAGCCAUGCGAGUCGAGAGGGUUCAGACCCUCGGCGGACUGCUCAGUAACACGUGGAUAACCUGCCCUAAGGUGGAGGAUAACCCCGGGAAACUGGGGAUAAUACUCCAUAGAUUAUAGAUACUGGAAUGUUUUAUAGUCUAAAGCUCCGGCGCCUUAGGAUGGAUCUGCGGCCGAUUAGGUUGUUGUUGGGGUAACGGCCCAACAAGCCUGUAAUCGGUACGGGUUGUGGGAGCAAAAGCCCGGAGAUGGAAUCUGAGACACGAUUCCAGGCCCUACGGGGCGCAGCAGGCGCGAAAACUUUACAAUGCAGGAAACUGUGAUAAGGGAACCCCGAGUGCCCGUAUAUGCGGGCUGUCCGGAUGUUUCAAACGCAUCUGAAGAAAGGGCCGGGCAAGACCGGUGCCAGCCGCCGCGGUAAUACCGGCGGCUCGAGUGGUGGCCACUUUUAUUGGGCUUAAAGCGUCCGUAGCUGGAUUUAUAAGUCUCCUGGGAAAUCCGCCGGCUUAACCGGUGGGCGUCCGGGAGAUACUGUAAAUCUAGGGACCGGGAGAGGUGAGAGGUACUCCGGGGGUAGGAGUGAAAUCCUGUAAUCCCCGGGGGACCACCUGUGGCGAAGGCGUCUCACCAGAACGGCUCCGACAGUGAGGGACGAAAGCUGGGGGAGCGAACCGGAAUUANAUACCCGGGUAAGUCCCAGCCGUAAACGAUGCGCGUUAGGUGUGCCGGUGACCAC
rnacentral:rRNA from 1 species